rnacentral:rRNA from 1 species
CCUACGGGAGGCAGCAGUGGGGGAUAUUGCACAAUGGGGGAAACCCUGAUGCAGCGACGCCGCGUGUGGGAAGACGGUCCUCUGGAUUGUAAACCCCUGUCCCCAGGGACGAAGUUAACGGUACCUGGGGAGGAAGCUCCGGCUAACGACGUGCCAGCAGCCGCGGUAAUACGUAGGGAGAGAGCGUAGUCCGGAAUUACUGGGGGAAAGGGGAGCGUAGGCGGGACUUGAAGUUGGGUGUCAAAUCUACCGGCUCAACCGGUAGCCGCACUCAAAACUGCAGUUCUUGAGUGAAGUAGAGGCAGGCGGAAUUCCUAGUGUAGCGGUGAAAUGCGUAGAUAUUAGGAGGAACACCAGUGGCGAAGGCGGCCUGCUGGGCUUUGACUGACGCUGAGGCUCGAAAGUGUGGGGAGCAAACAGGAUUAGAUACCCCAGUAGUC